AGUGAACGCUGGCGGUAGGCCUAACACAUGCAAGUCGAACGGCAGCACAGUAAGCGCUUGCUCUUCCGGGUGGCGAGUGGCGGACGGGUGAGGAAUACAUCGGCAUCUACUUUUUCGUGGGGGAUAACGUCGGGAAACUUACGCCAAUACAGCAUACGACCUACGGGUGAAAGCAGGGGAUCUUCGGCCCUUGCGCGAUUCAAUGAGCCGAUGUCGGAUUAGCUAGUUGGCGGGGUAAAGGCCCACCAAGGCGACGAUCCGUAGCUGGUCUGAGAGGAUGAUCAGCCACACUGGAACUGAGACACGGUCCAGACUCCUACGGGAGGCAGCAGUGGGGAAUAUUGGACAAUGGGCGCAAGCCUGAUCCAGCCAUACCGCGUGGGUGAAGAAGGCCUUCGGGUUGUAAAGCCCUUUUGUUGGGGAAGAAAAGCAGUAGGUUAAUACCCCGCUGGUCUGACGGUACCCAAAGAAUAAGCACCGGCUAACUUCGUG
rnacentral:rRNA from 1 species